rnacentral:rRNA from 1 species
GAUGAACGCUAGCUACAGGCUUAACACAUGCAAGUCGCGGGGUAACAUCUGGUAGAGCUUGCUCUUCCAGGAUGACGACCGGCGCACGGGUGAGUAACGCGUAUCCAACCUGGCCCAUACCACGGGAUAGCCCGUCGAAAGACGAAUUAAUACCUUAUAAAACAGGGGCUCCGCAUGGAGAUAUUUGUUAAAGAUUUAUCGGUAGUAGAUGGGCAUGCGUUCCAUUAGUUUGUUGGUGAGGUAACGGCUCACCAAGACAUCGAUGGAUAGGGGAACUGAGAGGUUUUACCCCCACACUGGAACUGAGACACGGUCCAGACUCCUACGGGAGGCAGCAGUGAGGAAUAUUGGUCAAUGGAGGCAACUCUGAACCAGCCAAGUCGCGUGAAGGAUGACUGCCCUACGGGUUGUAAACUUCUUUUUUAAGGGAAUAAAGUGAGCCACGUGUGGCUCUUUGCAUGUACCUUACGAAUAAGGAUCGGCUAACUCCGUG